CCUUCGGGCGCCGACGAGUGGCGGACGGGUGCGUAACGCGUAGGAAUCUGCCUGUUAGUGGGGGACAACGUGGGGAAACUCACGCUAAUACCGCAUACGCCCUACGGGGGAAAGCGGGGGAUCUUCGGACCUCGCGCUAACAGAUGAGCCUGCGUUGGAUUAGCUAGUUGGUAGGGUAAAGGCCUACCAAGGCGACGAUCCAUAGCUGGUCUGAGAGGACGAUCAGCCACACUGGGACUGAGACACGGCCCAGACUCCUACGGGAGGCAGCAGUGGGGAAUAUUGGACAAUGGGCGCAAGCCUGAUCCAGCAAUACCGCGUGUGUGAAGAAGGCCUGAGGGUUGUAAAGCACUUUUAAUCGGGAGGAACACCUGUCAGUUAAUACCUGGCAGUAUGACAUUACCGAUAGAAAAAGCACCGGCUAACUCCGUGCCAGCAGCUGCGGUAAUACGGAGGGUGCAAGCGUUAAUCGGAAUUACUGGGCGUAAAGCGUGCGUAGGCGGCUGUUUAAGUCAGAUGUGAAAGCCCCGGGCUUAACCUGGGAACUGCAUUUGAUACUGGGCAGCUAGAGUUGAGUAGAGGAGAGGGGAAUUUCAGGUGUAGCGGUGAAAUGCGUAGAGAUCUGAAGGAACACCAGUGGCGAAGGCGCCUCUCUGGACUCAAACUGACGCUGAGGUACGAAAGCGUGGGUAGCAAACAGGAUUAGAUACCCUGGUAGUCCACGCCGUAAACGAUGUCAACUAGCCGUUGGUCUUAUUCGUAAGAUUAGUGGCGUAGCUAACGCGAUAAGUUGACCGCCUGGGGAGUACGGCCGCAAGGUUAAAACUCAAAUGAAUUGACGGGGGCCCGCACAAGCGGUGGAGCAUGUGGUUUAAUUCGAUGCAACGCGAAGACCUUACCCACCCUUGACAUCCAGGGAAUC
rnacentral:rRNA from 1 species